AUUGAACGCUGGCGGCAGGCUUAACACAUGCAAGUCGAACGGAAGAGCGGAGCUUGCCCUUGCAGUCAGCGGCGGACGGGUGAGUAAUACCUAGGAACGUGCCCGGUAGUGGGGGAUAACGCCCGGAAACGGGCGCUAAUACCGCAUACGACCUGAGGGAGAAAGCGGGGGAUCUUCGGACCUCACGCUAUUAGAUGGGCCUAGGUCGGAUUAGCUAGUUGGUGGGGUAAAGGCCUACCAAGGCGACGAUCCGUAACUGGUCUGAGAGGAUGAUCAGUCACACUGGAACUGAGACACGGUCCAGACUCCUACGGGAGGCAGCAGUGGGGAAUGUUGGACAAUGGGCGAAAGCCUGAUCCAGCAAUGCCGCGUGUGUGAAGAAGGUCUUCGGUUUGUAAAGCACUUUAAGCUGGAAGGAAAGGCACUGAGUUAAUACCAUGCUGUUUUGACGUUACCAGCAGAAUAAGCACCGGCUAACUUCGUG
rnacentral:rRNA from 1 species